CUCUUCUCUGCUGCCGUCUGAGGUGCGCGUUUCACCUUCCGCCGUGAUUGUGAGGCCUCCCCAGCCACGUGGAACUGUGAGUCCAUUAAACCUCUUUCUUUUGUAAAUUGCCCCGUCUGAGGUAUGUCUUUAUGAGCAGCGUGAAAAUGGACUGACACGCAGACUCUCUGCAGAGUCCCGAGACGGCACGGAGGAUCACACGGGGAGGGGUCGAGUGUGCUAACUCAGGUCUCUCUUCCUCUUCUAAUAAAUCCACCCGUCCCGCUCCUGCGCUAACCCAUUAAUCCAUUAAUCUGUGAAUGGAUUCAUCUAUUCACGAGGGCACUGCCCUCCUGACCCGAUCACCUCUUAAAGGCCAACUCUCAAUCCUGCCACACUGGGAAUUAAGUUUCAACAUGAGUUUCGGAGGAGAUAAACAUUCAAAUCAUAGCCGAAAUCCAAAGAGAUUUGAGGAGCAGAAGUUGAUUCAAAGGUUAGCAAAGGCCCAUAUUGAUUGUUUCAGAGAAUAAUCAAUCAGAAAGUUAAGCAACGCAUCGCCAGAGCUGUGAGGAACAGACGAAGAAUUUCAAAAAGGCUUUAGGAUGAUAAAGACGCCUGGGCAGCUUUCUAAUGCUGUAUGCAAUGCCGUCCUGCAAACGUGUUUGGAUCUGCCUGCCGUCAAGACUCACCACUUCCCACCUGUACACUGCUGUCUGUCCUCAUUUCAAGUGAAUCACCUUGCGGUCUUCUUAUGCCAGCCUACGUGUGUUUUUAAAUCUAAAGUGGGUCUUUUGGGCCAGGCGCGGUGGCUCACGUCUGUAAUCCCAGCACUUUGGGAAGCCGAGGCAGGCAGAUCACCUGAGUUCAGGAGUUUGAGAACACCCUGGCCAACAUGGUGAAACCCGUCUCUACUAAGAAUAAAAAAUUAGCUGGGCAUGGUGGCGCAUGCCUGUAGUCCCAGCUACUCAGAAGGCCGAGACAGGAGAAUCGCUU
rnacentral:lncRNA from 1 species